rnacentral:miRNA from 1 species
CUCCAGAUGUUGCUGAAUUACAACUCCCAUGAUUCUAUGAAUAAAAUAUGCUGAGAAUCAUGGGAGUUGUAGUUCAGCAACAUCUGGAG